AUUCAAAGUCUGGCUCUGUCCACAGCUAGCUGUUGAACCUGGGGCAAGGCACCGAUUCACUGGGUGCCUCAGAGUAUAAGAGAGGGAUAAUAAUUGUAUCUUCUGUACAGGGCUCUGGAAAAGGUUAAAUGAGGUAAAGUAUGUCAAAUGCUUGGAACGGAGCCUGGAAUAUCACAAGCACAGUAAAUCUUGGCCACUAUUACAUAGACAAGAUCUCAGGAGCAGGCAUAGUUUGUGGGGGUGGGAGCAUCAUGAGCUAGGUUCAAACACACUGAUUCUGAGACAUCUAGGGAACCACAGAACAAGUUCUGGGCUGGAGAUGUAGAUUUCAUUUGAGAGCUGCCAGUAGUAGAGACGGUAAUUGAAGCCAUGGGAAUGGAGGUGAUUGUCCAGGGAGUGUAGGUAAAGUGAGAAUAGAUAAGUGCCAAAGGGCACAGUCUGGGUAUGUCAACAUUUAAGUGACAAUUUCAGAAAGAGAAGCCAAGGAAGAAACCAGAGAAAAGCAGUUGGAGAAGCAAGAAGGCAACCAGAAGUGGCCUUGGUACAGCUGUGAUGGGGAGACAAUGACGAAACAGCAGGAACUGGCACUGAGAGUUAUUGGUGUAGCUUGGGCUCUCCCCUCAUCAUCCUCUCCAGCUGGGAGUCAUGUGACAGAAGCAAGAAGCCUGUCACAGCGCACAUGUAAAAGAGCAAACUCCAGACACACACGUCUUAUCUGUGCUGACGGCCCACCUUGGUGACUGGAAAUGACACCAUCCAAUUUUUUCUGGCCGCAAUGUUGCACCCCUGAUUUUUUCCUUCAUAUGACAGACUUCACAGCAAAUACUCCUACUGAGUCCAAACAACCGCUACGAUUGAGAACAAGCAUGAAUCCGCCACCCACCUUCUCCUGGAAAUAAGGUUAUUGGGUUGCUGAACUCCCAUGAACCAAAAAGAAAACACUGAAUGGUAUCCAAACCAGCCUGGAAAGGACAGCGAGAAAAGCCAGAACCAAGGCUGACCAGCCUGAAUGCUGGUAAAUGUUAUCAAGAAUCUGGAGCAGGAGCCUCAGUCUCCUAUCAAAAGGAGAAGAACCUGAAGAAAACACUUCUCUUCCUUCUCUCUGCCUAGGGGCAGUGACCUUGGAUUCAACCACCAUCAUCCCUUCCAGACACCAGAGGGGGGAGUCCCACAAGGCAGAAGGUGCCCCUGUGACCCAUCCACUUCUCUUCCAUGUUCUUUACCUCCUUGCUCAGGAAGCCAUAAAGUUGAGCUGAGUGGAAGGUGAAUUUCAUUGCAAAGUUUACACAGGCUCUGCUGACAGGUUCAUGAAAACACUACUGAAUAUGUUACAUACCACCAAGGCUCACAGCACAUCCUGUGUUGGAAGUGAUACUUUUCCAUUACCAGUAAACCUCCUUUUGUCCUAGGAGCUCACUGAACAGCUAAAAUCAGGUGAUAUUUUUAUGUGGAACAUGCAACGUAUUAAGUCCUUUUGCUCAGUGACCCAAAAAGGAACUAAACGGUACCCAGACUAGAAAUCAAUGUCAAAUUAUUCAAAUAAAUUCCACUUAAAGAAUGGUGGUUUGGAAAGCGCUCAGUCAGAAAGAAUUCUCCCAAGAUUAGUUUACUGUGAAGUAGAAGGGAAGAACGUUUUAACUUUGGUUGGAAAUCUGAUGACAUUACAUAGAAGGUGAUGAAACAUCCUCUAAGAAACGGUUCUGAUCCAUUGUAUGGCACCCCCCUCUCACAUUCCCCCAUUUUACCCACUAAAGAAGUUCUUUUACAAGAGGCUAAGGAAACCAAGCAAUAUAAGAUCUAAUCAAAACUGAGUGCUGGAAAUGUGUGGGGAGAAAUCCAUAAUUAAACUGAGCAAUUAACUCCAGAAAGUUAACUGGGGCCAACUCUGACACUGCUAUAAAGUUAUAAAAUCUCCAGCAUCUCAUUUCUUUGUCCCUCUACCCAAUUUCCCCUCAAAGGUAAGCCUCUCUUUCUCUCUCCUCUCUUCUUCAUAUUUAAUAAAACUGUUUGCCAGAAAGGAAAGAAUCUUAGGUUAGUCAUUUACACUUUAGUGCGAAUUAAAGCCAGUGUGUCAACUCUCACAGGAAUGAGAAUUUCAAGCCAUACUUCUAAUUGUGGAAUGGCUGUCAUUGAAUUCUUUUAAGGGUAUUUCAUGGAACAACUAAAUAUAAGGAAGAGGAGAGAAACUGCCCAAGUCUGCCUAUGCCUAAAGUCAGCCUUAAGUUCAAUCUUGAGGGUGACAGCUUUCAUCUGCCACUCCCAAUUGAAAGUGAAUUCAGAUUAAUUCCUAGAUGUUUGUUUGUUGUUUUUUUUUUUUUUUUUUUUUUUUUUUUUUUUUUUUUGGGACGGAGUCUCGCUCUGUCGCCCAGGCUGGAGUGCAGUGGCGGGAUCUCGG
rnacentral:lncRNA from 10 species